GAAAUCCUCACUGGGACUCAAGCAAGAGUCAGCAUCAGAGAGAAAACUCGCUACCACUGUGUCUGGCCAUCUACACAUGUGGUUACCUUCCAAUGUCCCAGUAUAAAAGGUUUUCACACUGUAAGUUGUAAAACUAAAAUGACAAAACUGGAAUUUAAGACUUGGGCCACAACUGCAAAUGCUUUUGUUACAGCAUCCUGGUGACCAGACUCAUAAUGACCACUCUUUACGGAAGGACACUGACAAUGCUGUCCCUGAGGAAAUCACCUUCUAACUGCUGCUGCUCUCUCUUCAGCCAACACCCAAAGCCACCCGCCAGGGUCACGGGGAUGAGACUUCACAAGGUUUUUCUCUUCCUGAGAUGCCUGUGAUGAUCAGAGCACUGUUAGUACUGAAGCUGGGCUUUCUUCAGACUUGUGUUGACUCAGUGUGACUCCCGUAAGUUCUUUUCCUUUCUUUUGUUUUCCUGUGAAUUACAGCCACCUUGGGUUUUUUUGUCUGUCUAUUUGUUUGUUUAUGUCUGCAUGUGUGUACAUGCAUUUAACACGAAUGUGUAUAUUAGCACAAGUGUAUAUGUAGAGGCUAGAAGUUGACAUUGGAUAUUGUCCUUAAUUGUUCUCCACCUUAUUCAGUGAGGCAGAAUCUCUUAACUGAACCCUUG
rnacentral:lncRNA from 1 species